UACGAGCUGUGCAAACGUUAUUCGGAAUUACUGGGCGUAAAGGGCUCGUAGGCGGCCAACUAAGUCAGACGUGAAAUCCCUCGGCUUAACCGGGGAACUGCGUCUGAUACUGGAUGGCUUGAGGUUGGGAGAGGGAUGCGGAAUUCCAGGUGUAGCGGUGAAAUGCGUAGAUAUCUGGAGGAACACCGGUGGCGAAGGCGGCAUCCUGGACCAACACUGACGCUGAGUGAGCGAAAGCCAGGGGAGCAAACGGG
rnacentral:rRNA from 1 species